GGUCCCCUUACACACGGUGGAAGCUUUGUUCUUUUGCUGUUUGCAAUAAAUCUUGUUACUGCUCACUCUUUGGGUCAAUGCUGCUUUUAUGAGCUGUAACACUCACCGCGAAGGUCUGCAGCUUCACUCCUGAAGCCAGCGAGACCACGAGCCCACCGGGAGGAACGAACAACUCCAGACGUGCCACCUUAAGAGCUGUAACACUCACGGCGAAGGUCUGCAGCUUCACUCCUGAGCCAGCGAGACCACGAACCCCCCAGAAGGAAGAAACUCCGAACACAUCUGAACAUCAGAAGGAACGAACAACUCCAGACGCACCACCUUAAGAGCUGUAACACUCACCGCGAGGAGACCCAUGAAAUCCGGGGUCUCAGAACAGAGUAGAGGGCAGAGAAAGCACAGGAUGACCAGCUGCAGAUAGGGGCUACCUUCUCUUCUGAGAGCUGCAGAGACAAAGGAGGCCCCACUCUAGGGCCUCCUCUCUGCCGAGAGUUGAAGACGAAUGACCAGCUGCAGAGAGGAUCUACACUCCGGACUGAACACUUGUUGGGAUGACCUGCCUGCAGAGAGGAGCUCCCUCUCUGCAAGGAGCUGAACACCUGUCAGGACACCCUGACUACAGAGAGGAGCUACCCACUGCGGGUCUUCUCUGAGCUGUUCAGUUGCUCAAUAAAGCUCCUCUUCAUUUUGCUCA